rnacentral:misc_RNA from 1 species
AAGUCGUAACAAGGUUUCCGUAGGUGAACCUGCGGAAGGAUCAUUAACACGUAUCCAAACGUUAAAACAACCCUGUGAAUAUUGAAUCUCAGUUCGCGCACGAGUAGCACCUGUAUUGGGUCGAGCGUUUACAACUAUCCACUCCUGGUGCCCCCAAGCAACCAUCAAUCUGAAAGUGUUUGGUGAAUUGUGCAAGGGCAGCGCAGUCAACGAUCGGUGGUCCACACGGCCAUCGACCGGGGGUCGUUACCUCCCUGUGGGGCCAAGUUCAUUCAGGUUGAACAUGAUGCAUGUCUACCGCGCCCGACGAAAGUCCGACGCACCCCUAACCGAACAACUGUUAACAAUGGAUAUCUUGGUUCUC